rnacentral:rRNA from 1 species
AGCAAUUUCUUACGAUCCCUUCGGGGUGACGAGUUAUUGACUGAGUGGCGGACGGGUGAGUAACGCGUGGGUAACCUACCUUGUACAGGGGGACAACAGUUGGAAACGACUGCUAAUACCGCAUAAGCGCACAGCAUCGCAUGAUGCAGUGUGAAAAGUUUUUUCGGUACAAGAUGGACCCGCGUCUGAUUAGCUAGUUGGUGAGGUAACGGCCCACCAAGGCGACGAUCAGUAGCCGACCUGAGAGGGUGACCGGCCACAUUGGGACUGAGACACGGCCCAAACUCCUACGGGAGGCAGCAGUGGGGAAUAUUGCACAAUGGGCGCAAGCCUGAUGCAGCGACGCCGCGUGAGCGAAGAAGUAUUUCGGUAUGUAAAGCUCUAUCAGCAGGGAAGAUAAUGACGGUACCUGACUAAGAAGCACCGGCUAAAUACGUGCCAGCAGCCGCGGUAAUACGUAUGGUGCAAGCGUUAUCCGGAUUUACUGGGUGUAAAGGGAGCGUAGGCGGUUUUACAAGUCUGAUGUGAAAGCCCGGGGCUCAACUCCGGUAUUGCAUUGGAAACUGUAGAACUAAAGUGUCGGAGGGGUAAGUGGAAUUCCUAGUGUAGCGGUGAAAUGCGUAGAUAUUAGGAGGAACACCAGUGGCGAAGGCGGCUUACUGGACGAUUACUGACGCUGAGGCUCGAAAGCGUGGGGAGCAAACAGGAUUAGAUACCCUGGUAGUCCACGCCGUAA